GUCAUUGUAUGUGAGAGGGAUGUUUUUAAAACAGAGACUUCAGGUUCUCCUUUGUAAAGCAUUAAGCUGUGACCCUCCCCUCCUCCCUUCCCUCCCCCUGUAGCCCUGGACUUCAUGAUGCCUUCUUGACUGCUAGCUGAACAUGGAGUUGUCUUUUUAUUUAUUUUUUUUAUAAACCCAGUCACAACACAGAAAGAGGAGGAGGAGGGGAGAGAGAGAGAGAGGGAGAGAGAGGGAGAGGGAGAGAGAGAAGUAAAAACCCUGAAGGAUGGUUCUCAAAAAUUCUAAAGGAACCACAGGGAAUUCCUUUUAAGAGCAACAGAAAGCAAGCUAGCUGAGCUUAUCUCUACUCCAUGGCACUGAACAGACAGAUGACCAGUUGUACUGGUGGUGAUGCUUUGCAGCUCAAGGACUGGCUGGAGGUCACGAUAGAGGACCGAGUCGGAGAAGGCAAUGGCAACCCACUCCAGUACUCUUGCCUGGAAAAUCCCAUGGACGGAGGAGCCUGGUAGGCUGCAGUCCAUGGGGUCGCUAGGAGUCGGACACGACUGAGCGACUUCACUUUCACUUUUCCCUUUCAUGCAUUGGAGAAGGACAGACUGGAAGUAUGAGGAAUAUGAAUCCCCACUAAGUGCAUCUUUCAACCAACGACUGAGGGGAUUUUGUGAGAUGGUCGGUUGGAGUUGGCUCAUACUGACCUGCAAAGUUUGAUUGUUAAAUUUUCUGAAAUUUUGUCAGUCAGUUGUUAAACACAGCUGUUACUAAAAAUUAAAUUAUAUACACUUGCAUUAUAAUUAAGUAAAUUAUGUUAAAAGUAAAGGUAAUUUCUAUUACUUUCUAAUUAUUUUACUACAUUUUAUGUUUUCCUGUACUCUUGUCUUUUGUAUUAAGUAAGUGGCUACUAUGGUUCUUUUCUCAGCUCCAUGUUCAAUGACAUUAUAUUGGUAGCUUUAAAUCAGCCAUGAUGGGAGGAGAAUUUACACCAUGGAAAUUGGCAAAUGUUACAAAUCAGGGAUCACUCAACCCCACUCUCACUCCAGCUGGAAAACGUGUUGUUAAAGAUUUACCAACACAUUACUGAGAUGGUAAAUAAAUACUCAAGCUCUUUUACCCCUCA
ensembl:lncRNA